ensembl:snoRNA
GUAUGAAAUGAUGUUAUACCAUCUUUCGGGACUGACUUGUAAUGGAGAAGCUCUUCUCAUUUCACUGAUCAUAC